UGGACCGCCAGAUAUUUGAUUGGAGAAAACCCAAGAUUAUACCGCAAACCCAAACGGAGUAGUACUGAAGGAAAAUGAAAACUGAGCGGAAGCACGUAGGAGGGCAGAGCCAGGCUAGUGGAUUGGCACCUGGUGGU